GUUACCCCUCAAACAUGAUAUGUAAAUUAUAUGGUAGUGGAGUUGGAAUUAAAAAUAGGCAUAUUUACAUAUGAUGUGUCAGGAAGGUUCAGAAUGAAAUAUUGUAGUGUGAGAAAGGACUUUUCAUGCAAUUUGCCAGUGUCUGUCUUGGUAGUAGGGGUAAGCUUGAGAUUGAAAAUAAGUUUUGUCUGUGCGCCUGAUUAUUCAUUAUAAUGAUAUUAGAGUCACUGAGUUCCAUUGUGGUUAAGGGAAGGAUACUCUAUCCUGGGGGUGGGGGGUGGUUAGAGGGCUGGUUCCUGUAUAAACUUGAAGUAAAUAAAGGCCAAACUUGCCUGGUUUACACCAUGCUACAUUCACACAGAUGGGCAUGAUUCAUUAUAUGUACAUUAAUAUAGUACCACUAAUAAUAAAUUAAUAAAAACAGUGUUACAAAACAAUUAAAAUGAAAGGACAAGACAAUUAAGAGCCUAAACUUUUUGAGUAUAGAAAGUAAAUAGAAGCACAGUAAAUAUAGCCUGGAUGACUAAAGAAUAACAAAAAUUUUAAAAAUAUAAACUUCAAAUCUCAACAUUCCAAUGCAGAAGCAAGCAGGGUCCUAAAUGACAUAGAAACACUAACAUCAAGAGUAUUCCUUCCCAUUGCCUUCUGGGACUUGACACCCUUUGAAAGGGGGUGUAGGCAAUUAAUCUGAAGAAAGAGAUCAUUUGCUGGAACCCACGUGAGCUCAGAGUGGGUUAAUGUCCCUCAGGGUCAGGGCCGUUCCCUCACUAUCAGCCAUUUGCUUCUCUUUUCCGUGCCCUUUCCUCUCUUUGUGUCCCACCCAAGGUUUUACAUAUUUCUAUAUUAACCCCAUUCAUACUGUAAUAAAAAGGGAUCUACUAGUCUUUAAAAUAAUGUAAUGGAACCACAAUGACACAUGGCAAAAUUGUUAAGCUCAAGGAUUCUGUAGUUAAAUUUCAUAAUUUUCCCAGAUAGGACAAGAAAACAAGCUGGACAAGAAGGGCCUGUCUUGAUGUGUAGUUCUGCUAGAGUUGGGGAGA